CCUACGGGAGGCAGCAGUGGGGAAUAUUGGACAAUGGGGGCAACCCUGAUCCAGCCAUGCCGCGUGUGUGAAGAAGGCCCUCGGGUUGUAAAGCACUUUCAGUGAGGAAGAACGCCUGGUGGUUAAUACCCAUCAGGAAAGACAUCACUCACAGAAGAAGCACCGGCUAACUCCGUGCCAGCAGCCGCGGUGAUACGGAGGGUGCGAGCGUUAAUCGGAAUUACUGGGCGUAAAGCGCGCGUAGGUGGCUUGAUAAGCCGGUUGUGAAAGCCCCGGGCUCAACCUGGGAACGGCAUCCGGAACUGUCAAGCUAGAGUGCAGGAGAGGAAGGUAGAAUUCCCGGUGUAGCGGUGAAAUGCGUAGAGAUCGGGAGGAAUACCAGUGGCGAAGGCGGCCUUCUGGACUGACACUGACACUGAGGUGCGAAAGCGUGGGUAGCAAACAGGAUUAGAUACCCGUGUAGUC
rnacentral:rRNA from 1 species